rnacentral:rRNA from 1 species
AUGGCGCAGGCUUCGGCCGCGGCGGCGCUGCGCCGCUUGCGGCGUCCCCGCGAUCCAUCCGCGGCAUUCCUCUCCUCGCUCUUACAUUCUUGCUUCCUCUCAUCCACCUCCGCUUACUCUCCGGUAGCGCUGCACGGGCCGAAGCCGCCAGCCGCGGCCGGCUCUUCCAUCACCAGCAGUGCCUGCAGCAGCAGCACGUGCAGUCGGUUCGACUCCUACCGGCGGCAGUCUGCAGCGGCUGCGACUACGACGAGAGCCCUGCACCACGCUCCGAGCUCUGACGGCUCAAGUGAGAGUACACCCACCUCGCAGUCUCAACUCUUACAUUUCAUCAAAUCCACAUUUGGGACACUCGAAGAAAAAAAUCAUUGUUGGUUGAAUGCCGUGAAUGGCAUUUGGAAAACCUUUAAUCAAGAAGGAAUAUAUCUUGUUCUAUUGUAUCAGUCACAUGAAACAUUAGACGGGGACAGCAAACAUUCAGCUGCAUUUAGAAAAUUGAAAUAUCUUCAUCAGAGGUACCCGCAUCUAAAUGUUUUUGCUAUGCAAUAUGGGAGUGGUAUUAGUUCCUUAGCUACUCAAAGCCAAGCAGUUCGUACAAUAAUGGAGGAAUACAUUACAUUUCCUAUCUUGUUGUCAGACAAAGACUUUACCAAUAUGGCGAAUGGUGCUUGCUACUUGCUAUUUGAAGGUUCUAAGGAUCAUAUAAUCUUCACAAAAUUGGAUGGGGACCCUGAGCUCAUGAUCAGGGGCAUGGAAGGAUUUAGUGCAUUGAGUGCAGAACCUAUUGAAAAUGUUGUAGAAUCAGGAGUUCCGUGGCAGAAAGAAGAGGUUGUCAAAGAGCCAUAUGUAGGUUCUCUCAGAAACUUGUUACUUUAUCAUCCAGGUGGCCUAUCAAUUGAUGAGGACGGUGAUCGCAUUUUUAUCUCUGAUAGUAACCACCAUAGAAUCAUCAUUAGCAACGGUGAUGGGGUGAUUUUGGACUGUAUUGGAUCCUCCCCAGGUUUUGAGGAUGGUGAAUUUGAAUCUGCCAAGUUAUUGCACCCUGCUGCAUCAUUUUAUCAUGCCGCUGAAGAUUGUCUAUAUAUAGUAGAUUCGGAGAAUCAUGCAGUUAGAAAAGCAGAUUUUGGAAGAAGGUUUCUGGAGACAGUUUAUCCAGUCUUCAAUAAAAAAGGAAGUGGUGUCUGGAGUUGGAUUAUUGAUAAGCUUGGUUUGACAAAGGAAGACGCUUCAAAGAAAGAUGAUGCUUCAAACAUUCAAGAUUUCGACGCUGACUCAGUAGUGUUUCCAUGGCAUUUGCUCAAAAUUUCCGAGGACGAUUUAUUAGUAGCAGAUCGCAGCUUUGAAACAUCAUGGAUCCUGAGCAUGUCAACUGGUGAAAAAAAGAAUAUUGUAAGAGGUAGAGCUGAAGCAAUGGAGUUGUGUCAGCAAAUGAUUGAUGAGAGGCAUGCUCUCCUUAAAGAUAUACACAUCAAUGGGUCAUCAGGUGAUAAAGGACAUUCUAAUCUACUGGAGAAGAUCCCUUGCAAUGAACUUGUAUCAUCAAUUUCAAGAUUCCGGAAAUGCAUUGUCUUCUGUGAUACAGAUGGUCAAAGGGUUCAGAAGCAUGACUUGGAUACCAAAGAAACCUCGAAUAUUCAUUUUACAAAUGUUGGGGUUCUAGGGUUACCAUAUUGGUUUGUUUGCCGUCUUGAGAAAGUAUCUACCUGGGGACAUUCAGCUGGACAAUUUCAAGAUCACAACCGUAAAGUAAAUGUGCUCCCUGGAAGAUGCAACAUCAAGGUCUCUGUAGACAUCCCAGUUGAUACUGAGCUUGCCACACCUUUGGUUGAGAGCUGUAUUUGGCGCCAAGUAAGGGGAUCUGGUGCUGGGAUUUCUGAAUCUGACGCACAAGAUACAACAUCUGAGAAGGUUGGUAUAGCACAGCAAUGGUAUGAUGAAAUAGACAACCUAGCAUUUUCUGAAGCUGCAGAGGAACCUGCUGUGAUUAAAGGUGAUGAUAAACCCGCAGAUGAAAGUCACCAAGACCAGAAAAGCGUGCAUUUCACCUGUGCAGUUAACGUCAGCCCUGGGUCAUGCGAGCUGGUGGCCUCUGCUGCAUUGUACCUAAGGGUCGACCGAACGAAAGCGGACCAUGAGGACCAGAAAGCAGUGAUCAAGAGGAUCCUCCAGUGCCAGGGGCAUGAGGAGCACGUGGGUGUCGAGCUCCUGACGGAGAAUCACAGAGACGCGAGGGAUCUAGUCAUCAUGAAGCCGGUUCAUCUCAGGCUGAGAAUGGAGUGCGCCGAUCACCCUGCUGGAACCACCAACAAGGAGACCAUCAGCACCGAGUCCAGUCUCGAGAUCAGCAUCACUUUAGAGUAG